GCAGUCGAGCGGUAGCACAGAGAGCUUGCUCUCGGGUGACGAGCGGCGGACGGGUGAGUAAUGUCUGGGAAACUGCCUGAUGGAGGGGGAUAACUACUGGAAACGGUAGCUAAUACCGCAUAACGUCGCAAGACCAAAGUGGGGGACCUUCGGGCCUCAUGCCAUCAGAUGUGCCCAGAUGGGAUUAGCUGGUAGGUGGGGUAACGGCUCACCUAGGCGACGAUCCCUAGCUGGUCUGAGAGGAUGACCAGCCACACUGGAACUGAGACACGGUCCAGACUCCUACGGGAGGCAGCAGUGGGGAAUAUUGCACAAUGGGCGCAAGCCUGAUGCAGCCAUGCCGCGUGUGUGAAGAAGGCCUUCGGGUUGUAAAGCACUUUCAGCGGGGAGGAAGGCGGUGAGGUUAAUAACCUCAUCGAUUGACGUUACCCGCAGAAGAAGCACCGGCUAACUCCGUGCCAGCAGCCGCGGUAAUACGGAGGGUGCAAGCGUUAAUCGGAAUUACUGGGCGUAAAGCGCACGCAGGCGGUCUGUCAAGUCGGAUGUGAAAUCCCCGGGCUCAACCUGGGAACUGCAUUCGAAACUGGCAGGCUAGAGUCUUGUAGAGGGGGGUAGAAUUCCAGGUGUAGCGGUGAAAUGCGUAGAGAUCUGGAGGAAUACCGGUGGCGAAGGCGGCCCCCUGGACAAAGACUGACGCUCAGGUGCGAAAGCGUGGGGAGCAAACAGGAUUAGAUACCCUGGUAGUCCACGCCGUAAACGAUGUCGAUUUGGAGGUUGUGCCCUUGAGGCGUGGCUUCCGGAGCUAACGCGUUAAAUCGACCGCCUGGGGAGUACGGCCGCAAGGUUAAAACUCAAAUGAAUUGACGGGGGCCCGCACAAGCGGUGGAGCAUGUGGUUUAAUUCGAUGCAACGCGAAGAACCUUACCUGGUCUUGACAUCCACAGAACUUAGCAGAGAUGCUUUGGUGCCUUCGGGAACUGUGAGACAGGUGCUGCAUGGCUGUCGUCAGCUCGUGUUGUGAAAUGUUGGGUUAAGUCCCGCAACGAGCGCAACCCUUAUCCUUUGUUGCCAGCGGUCCGGCCGGGAACUCAAAGGAGACUGCCAGUGAUAAACUGGAGGAAGGUGGGGAUGACGUCAAGUCAUCAUGGCCCUUACGACCAGGGCUACACACGUGCUACAAUGGCAUAUACAAAGAGAAGCGACCUCGCGAGAGCAAGCGGACCUCAUAAAGUAUGUCGUAGUCCGGAUUGGAGUCUGCAACUCGACUCCAUGAAGUCGGAAUCGCUAGUAAUCGUAGAUCAGAAUGCUACGGUGAAUACGUUCCCGGGCCUUGUACACACCGCCCGUCACACCAUGGGAGUGGGUUGCAAAAGAAGUAGGUAGCUUAACCUUCGGGA
rnacentral:rRNA from 1 species